GGACCCUUAGCUCAGUGGAUAGAGCAAUCGCCUUCUAAGCGAUCGGUCAUUGGUUCGAGUCCAAUAGGGUCCGC
rnacentral:tRNA from 1 species